CCAAUUCCAAACAUUUUACCAUUUUAUUGAGAAAAAGAAUAGUACAAACAAAGCAUUAAAUAGCAACAACAUUAUAUUAUGUGUCUCCUUGCUGUAUAAAUUUGGAUACUCUGAUUAGCCACACACACCACUCUUCUCCCUUAAAAGGAAGAUUAAAAAUAAAUAUUUUUAUUGCUAGUUUUGCUUGCUCUCUGCAACCCUACUUAAAAAAAAAAUAAUAAUAAUAAAUUAAAACGUUUGGUGUCAUUAUGCUCUGGAUGACACAACCAAGCUUCAAUACCUUAAAGGGACAGAGCCGGUCUCUAAAGGCUCAGCAGUAUAUAUACACUGACUUUUCUGAGAUAGAGGCAGUGUUUACAUAGCUACCUAAUGUCACCUCUAGUGGCUCACUUUGACAGCCAUUUUAACCACUUCCCGGGCAAGGUUCUGGCAAGACUGCAUGUCUGAUAUUCAGUCUCCACGCUCUGCAAUGACGCAAUGCAUGGAGAUGGUGAGCGGUGCAGAGACUGCUGUGCAUGAGCAUUAGCCCCCAACAAUGCUUUAUUACACUGUGUGUUCUCUGAAAAGGUUUUGAAUUCCCAGUGUAAAGUGACCGCAUCGGUGCACCAAAACCACUGCAUUAAAAUGUAGUGGUUUUGGUGCUUAGAGUGUCCCUUUAAUAAACUCAAAAGAUUUUGUUGGCUCAAGGUUACGUAACUUACACAUUAAUCCUGCCUUAUUUAGCUGAAAAUUGAGUGGACAACAGUGUCUGGUUCAGUCCUAAGUCAUAAUUAAGCAGAGUAGAGCAGUUGCUAAAGCCUGAAUGGCAUGCCCUAAUUAGAAUGCUUAAGUGUCACAUACUAACAACACUGUGUGUAACUCAGUAUUUUAAGGAAAGAUAUACCCUGUUGUAAAGGAUUAUGAACAUCCAAAUGCUGAGUGUAAAACUAUUUAAUACACACACAGCAUGCUGCCACCAUAACUACUACAAUGGGGUUGAUAUGGGCUUAGAGUGCCACUAUAAACUGCACUAUUCUAGUUAGAUUAUGCUUCUUAACCAUUAAGAAGACAAGUUUUGCAAAAAUCACAUGGACACAACUGGUGAUACUAAUUCAACAUUAAAUAAUGUAAUUUUCUGUACCCAUCUUAUAACUUGUCUGUAGGCUCCAUACCUCUCAGGCAUAACCCGAUAGAGGGGAGGGGGAAUAGAAAGGAAAAAAAGAAGUACAUUCUGGAUGAGAUUUCACUCUGGUCCAGGAACAAAUGGUAUGUGAAAGUAAAUUAAGAUGUCAAGCUAUAAUACAUUCACACUUGUAUUGCGAUCCUGAAAACUCAUUUUCUUUUGAUUUUAAUCUUCACCUGCAGAUGAGCAACCUAAAUUUACAUUACUACGCAAGCCUCUAGUUAGAUUGGAAAGUCUUGCAUAAGUCACUGUUUCUUCUUCUUUACUUGUUUUUUCCCUCCUUUUGAAGCAUUGUUGCAGUAUUUUGCUUCCAUUUGAGCCAAGAAACUAUCUGCUUCCUUUUCACGUUCUUUUUGUCUUUUCUGGAAAGUAAAAAAAAAAAAAAAAGCAUUUAUAAGGAGUUUUUCUAAACACACCUCCCACAAGACUAUAAAGCAACGUUUCUCAAUUGGUGUUCCG